CACCCCCACCCCCACCCCCCCGCCCCCAGCGCGGCGCGUGGCGAACGCGGCGGUUGCUGGGCGCCAGGGCCGCUCCCGGGGUGGCGAGGGAUGCCGAAGGAAUUGUAGGAAGUCCUAUUGGAAAUACCCUUAAGCAAUAUUUCACUUACAAAGAAGAGAUGCAGUGGUAAAGCAUUACAAGCAAAAAAACCCAAAAAUGCAUGGGAGAACAAUUAACAGUUUAAUGUGACUGAAAUGUAGAAUCAAGAGAACUAGAGAGAAAGCCAUGAUAGUUUGAUGCCAUAUCGUGGAAAACCAUGGAUUCUGGGGGAGAGAAAUAAAGAAUGAUUUUAAAGUAUUUAACUAAACCGCAGAGUGAAUCAUCCAUAUUUGGAGAACUAAGACUUGGCCAUAAAUUUUGCUGCAUGUACACCACAGAAUCACAAAAUGAACAUCUGGAGGAUAAAAACACCUCAUCAUCUACAACUCCUCAGAUCCUCAAAGAUAGUAGUAUUAGUGAACAUGAAGAAACUAAGGAAACUGUCUUGUCACAAACAGAGGAAACAAAACCACAGAUGGAAAAGACGUACUCUUGUCCCCCACAAGGAAAAUUGAAUAAACUUAUUACAAAUGGAAUAAAUGCUUCUCUCAGGGAAGUACAAAUCAAAACCACAAUGAGAUACUACCUCACACCUGUCAGAAUGGCUAAAAUUAACAACACACAAGAAACAAGGGGUGUUGAUGAGGAAGCAGAAAAAGGAGAAUCCUCUUGCACUGUUGAUGGAAAUGCAAAACUGGUGCAUCCACUCUGGAAAACAGUAUGGAGGUUCCUCAAAAAGUUAAAAAUAGAACUACUCUACGAUCCAGCAAUUACAAUACUAGGAGUUGCAUUUUUUAUGGCAUGGUGUGUAGUCUGGUCAUUCUCAGGCCCUGAAGUUCUCCCUGGUGGAAAUUUAUUUGGACUAUUAAUUAUCUUUUAUAGUGCCAUUAUUGGGGGGAAACUUUUGGAACUCAUUAGAAUACCUUCAGUGCCUCAACUUCCACCUCUUCUUGGGAUGUUACUGGCUGGUUUUACUGUCAGGAAUGUUCCAUUCCUCAGUAAUUACAUCCAUGUUAAUAACACGUGGUCUUCAACUUUAAGAACCACUGCCCUUACCGUUAUCCUAAUACAAGCUGGGCUUGGACUCGAUCCACAGGCUUUGAGGCAUUUGAAGAGAGUUUGUUUAAGGUUGGCUAUUGGUCCCUGCCUCAUGGAGGCAUGUUCAACUGCUGUUGUUUCCCACUUCCUUAUGAAUUUUCCCUGGCAAUGGGGAUUUCUAUUGGGUUUUGUACUAGGUGCUGUCUCUCCUGCUGUGGUUGUCCCUUCCAUGCUCCUUUUGCAAGAACAUGGAUAUGGCAUUAAUAAAGGCAUCCCAACCUUACUGAUAGCUGCUAGCAGUUUGGAUGACAUCAUAGCAAUCACUGGAUUCAAUACAUGCUUGAGCAUAGUCUUCUCCUCAGGUGGUAUACUUAAUAAUGUCCUUGCGUCUUUUCGGGAUGUACUUAUUGGCGCGCUGGCAGGAGCUGUUUUGGGAAUUUUUGUUCAGUAUUUUCCAAGUGGAGAUCAGACAAAACUGCCACUGAAGAGAGCUUUCCUUAUUUUGAGUAUGUGUGUUACUGCUGUCUUGGGAAGCCAUCAUAUUGGUUUACAUGCAGCUGGAGGAUUAUGCACAUUAGCAUUAACUUUUGUUGCAGGGAUAAAUUGGUCCACAGAAAAGGUUAAAGUCCAAAGAAUUAUUAAAACUACAUGGUAUAUUUUUCAACCCCUUCUUUUUGGCUUGGUUGGAUCAGAAGUAUCUGUUGCAUCUCUUCAAUCAAAUGCUAUUGGCAUUUGUGUUGCUACUAUGAGUCUGGCACUAUUGGUUCGAAUUUCUUUUACAUUUCUAUUGAUGUGUUUUGCUGGCUUUAGUUUUAAGGAGAAAAUAUUUAUUGCUUUAUCAUGGAUGCCCAAAGCUACAGUCCAGGAGCAUGUGCACCCCAAUGUUCAUAGCAGCAAUGUCCACAAUAGUCAAACUGUGGAAGGAGCUGAGAUGCCCUUCAACAGAUGAAUGGAUAAAGAAGAUGUGGUCCAUAUAUACAAUGGAAUAUUACUCAGCCAUCAGAAAGGAUGAAUACCCACCAUUUGCAUCGACAUGGAUGGAACUGGAGGGGAUUAUGCUAAGUGAAGUAGGCUCCAUGCAUAGUGUGGAGCCCAACGUGGAACCUGAGCUCACAACCCUGAGAUCAAGACCCGAGCUGAGAUCAAGAGUUGGACACUUAACUGACCCACCCAGUAGCUCCUGACUUGCUCCUGGUACCUGGUAGAGAUGGAACACCUGACCAUGGGACAUCAAGUGACUGCGUGAAUAAUCAACUACCCAUCAUGAACUGCUGUUACCUGAUUCACCAAACCAUACAACUGGAUGGGCGCAACAGCAGUCCACUCCCUACAACACUGGCAACACCAUCACAACUAAACUGAAUGAGCAGGUGACUCAUUCGAGUAACACCUGCCCAUAUUCCUUCAGCACCUCUCCCCCAGUCCAUACAAACUGGCUUCAAAAGAGUUCCUCUGACCAAUUAAUGAAGAGAAAAAUAAGAAUCUUUUUUUAAAGAUAUUUAUUUACUCAUGAGAGACAGAGAGAGGCAGAGGGAGAAGCAGGCUCCCUGUGGAGCAGGGAGUCAGAUGUGGGACUCGAUCUCAGGACCCUGGGAUUGACGUGAGCCGGAGGCAGCCACUUAACCGACUGAGCCCCCCAGGCACCCCUUGGUCUUGUUAAUUCACAAAAGGAUCUGCAGUGAGUUGGCAAUACUGGGGUGUGAGUGCUCACUAUACAACACCAUCACUCAUUAGUGGCCCUGAAACACAACAGUAAAGGGAAAUCCUUUCAUUGAGAAGAACUUUAUAAGACAAUGGCCUGAGGUAAGGGUAAACACUGGUUCAUUGUUAGUGGCUUAUGAGUUGACGGGCUGGACAAGAACUUAGAACAAACUGGAAAACUGAUUCAGUUUACGGGGCCGACCAGGAGACAAUAACCUGCAAAUUUAGGAUGCUGACCUACAGAAUAAAGUAUAUGCUUAACCCCAGUAAUCAGUAUAUAGUGCCAUCUUUCCCAGAAAGUACACAUAGUGGAGAUGAGCCUGGCCCCUCUAUUUUAUACAUGUCUAAUUUUUUAAAAAAUACUGGCCGCAUGUUUUCUGAAUUUGGUGAAAAGCAUGACAUUACAGAUCCACACAGCUUAGUGAAGCACAAGUAGGAAAAUUACAGUGAAAAUCACACCAAUGCAUGUUAUAGUCAAACUAAUAAAAGACAAACAUCUUAAAAGCAUUCAGAGAAAGUACACAUUACACACAAGAAGGCUAUUAUAUGCAUUUAUUAUAAAGUUUUUUAAUUGAAGCAUAACACAAGUAUAGAAAAGUACACAAAUAUAAUUAUUUAGCAUGACUUACCACAAAGUGAAGAUAACUAUGUGAUCAGCACCCACUUCAUUAGCUUCCACACUAAUAUGUCCCACAUUUAAUGAAUAUACCACAUUUACCCAUUCUGUUGAUAGCCGCUGGAGAUAUUUCCAUUCGGGGCUAUUAUAAGGACUGCUACUAUGAACAUUCUUGUGUACAUCUUUUGGUGUACACAUGUAUGCAUUUUUGUUGGGUUCUCUAUUAUACCUAAUAACCCAUUUGAAGAAUUUUUGGUCCCUGAAACUUUGGACUUAGUGGUUUUGGAGGUCUUAGUAUUGAAGAGAGGAAUGUUUCCUAGGAAAUCUUCCUAGGAAAAUGGUUUCAGUGAAUUGGAAAUGGACACUGCUUACCGGCAGGUUUGGGCUUUUUCUGUCACUAACCAACAAAGAAGGGGAUCACUCUACUGGCAGGGUGAGGAAUCCCUUUUAUCUUUUUUUUUUUUUUUUUUUUUAAGAUUUAUUUAUUAGAGCGGAGGGCGGGGGGGGGGGGGGAGAGAGAAACCUAAGCAGACUCCACGCUGAGCAUGGAGCCCAAAUUGGGGCUAGAUCCCACAAUCCUGAGAUCACAACCUGAGCCAAAACCAAGAGUCGGAUGCUUAACUGACUGCAACACCUAGGUGCCCUGGGAUCCCUUUUAACGGGGAAAUUGCAUCACUGCUAUACAGUGGAAUAAAUAGGACUAUAUAUGGAAUGUAAGAGUAUUCUCUGAAAUUGUUUGUAUUCUCAGCCAGUAGUCCAAUAAAAAACUAGGGUAACCCAAAAAGGACUUCCACUGGGACUAGUAAGAAUGAAUGUUGGAGGGUGCCUGGGUGGCUCAGUUGGUUAAGCGACUGCCUUCAGCUCAGGUCAUGAUCUCAGGGUCCUGGGAUCAAGCCCCGCAUCGGGCUCCCUGCUCGGCGGGAAGCCUACUUCUCCUCUCCCACUUCCCCUGCUUGUGUUCCCUCUCUCGCUGUCUCUGUCAAAAAAAAAAAAAAAUCUUUAAAAAAAAAAAAAGAAUGAACGUUGGAGCACCCCACCUGGUAAAAAAUCCUAUCAGGGUGUACCUGGGUGGCUCAGUCUGUUAAGCAUCUGACUCUUGAUUUCAGCUCAGGUCAUGAUCUCAGGGUCGUGAGAUCGAGUCCUGCCUCAGGCUCCACGCUCAGCAUGAAGUCAGCUUAGGAUACUCUCUCCCCCUCUCCCUCUGCUCUUCUCUCCACUCUCUCUCCCUUUGCUCCUCCUCCUUCUCUCUCAAAUAAAUAAAAUCUUAAAAAAGAAAAAAAAUCCCAUUCAGGUGAGGUACAAGCAAAAAGUGAGAGAAACUAAGAAUGGAUAGUGAAAGAGAACUAUGUUUAUGAAUCCAGGCCUCAUGACCAGCUUAAAAAGCAGUUUUAUGAGACUGUUUUGGAACUUGUUUCUUUUCUCCCAUACCAUAUAUGAAGACUUCUGGGGUGGCUGAUGUUUAUGGUUUCAGGACUGAAUGACACCACCCCAUGAUUUGUAGCUGAUGGGAGGAGAUUGCAUAGUGGUAAAGAAUGAGGUAAGCAUAUUUAUUCCCUUUGGCUCCCUCCAGUAGAGGCUACCUGGAACUGGAUGUAUACCUCGACCUUAGGUCAGUGCCUCUCUCAAAGUGAACUCUUCACAAUUCUCUCUCCUUCCUGGUUCUGAUUUUUUCCUCUUCUCUUAAGAGUCUAUCCUUGUAAUUCUCUUAUACCCUACACACACAUAUUUGUAAUUAGUCCCUUUGUAAGUAAACUUUUAAAUGAUCCUGAGUGUAUCAUUUGUUUCCUGUUAGGACUCUUGGACACAUGAACUUUUUUUUUUCUAUGACCAACAUGGGGCUUGAACUCAUGACCCUGAAAUCAAGAGUCCCGUGCUCUACCAACUAAGCCGGCCAGGCGCCUGUGAACUUUUUAUCUCUUGUAUUGCUUCUUGCUUAAAAUCUACUUGGAUUUAGCAUAAUCACACCAUCUUUGUUAGUUUUUGCAUGAUACACAUCUUUUUACUUUAAGCUUUUCUGCAUUCCAUUUAAGAUUUGUCUCUUGAAACACGUUAAAAGUAUACCUUUAUAAGUCCAAGACAGUCUUUGUCUUUGAAUUGGGAUAAUCAGUUUGCAUUUAAUGUAAUUACUGAUAGAUUGGCUUUAAAGCUGCCAUCCAGCUGUUUUUGUCUCACCUGUUCUUCAUUCUUUUUUCUCUACUUUCUUGGGGAUUUUUCAAGUUUUGUUUUUUUAAUUUCAUUGUUUCCUUUUGUUUAGCUUUUUGGUUUUAUGUUCUUUUAAUAUUCUUAAUUCCUGUGGAAAUUAGAACGUACAUCCUUGAUUUUUAAAAGCCUAGGAUAUAUUAGUAUUUUAUCCACUUCCUGGACAAUGGGAACAGCUUGGACCACUUUAAGUCUGUUUACCUUCUCCUCAGUUACCGUGUUGUUACGUUUUUAAAUCUGUAUGUUUUUAACAUCACAAUAUAUUAGCAUUGUUUUGUAAAGUUACUAUUUAUUGAGAUUUACCUAUAUAUUUUUCCUUCUCAUUGCUCAUCUCUUCCAUAAUCUGAGAGCAUCCAUCUGAGAUCAUUUCUCUGCCCAAGGUCCACUCUUUCUUAUAAGGCAAAAAUGCUGGUGACAAAUUCUGUUUCUGUUUGUUUGAAAAUGUCUUUAUUUUGCCUCAAUAUUUGAAAGUUAUAUUGUUUGAACGUAAAUUCUAAGUUGAUAUUUUCCUUUGGUACUCUAAAGAUAGCUCAUUUUGGUUGCAAAGCAGUGGUCUUACUGUCAUUCAUUUGAUAAUUUGUCUUUUUCCUCUGGAUGCUUAAAAUUUUUCUCUUUGGUUUUCAGCAGUUUUACUAUGAUGUGCUUAGCUGUGGUUUUUGCCUUUUUCUAGUUUACAGUGUUUCUUGAAUCCAAGGCAUGAUGCCUUUUACUUACUUUAGACAUCUCUUCAGUAUCACUUUGUUAUAUUUUCUCAUUCCUCUCCUUUUCGGUCUUAAUUAUAACUAUAUUAAACUUCUUUUUUAUUCUAUACCAUAAGUCUCUUCCACUUUUUAAAAAAUUUUUUCCAUAUUUUCAUCCUUUUGUUUCUGUAAAUCUGAAUAUUUUCUUCUGAACUUCAUCCAGUUCCCUCAUUUUGUCUUUAGCUCUGUAUAAUUGGCUAUUAAGUCCAUCCACUGGGUUUUUAAUGUUAGCAAUCUUUGAACAAUAGAAUUUCCAUUUGUGUUUUCAUUCUCUACACACAUUCUUAUUCUUAGAUUAUAAGUUCCUGAGCAUUUUAAACAGCAUUUUAAAGUCUUUGUUUCAUAAUCCCCGUUGGGUUUGUUUCUAUGAUCUGUUGCUUCUCUGCUUUUGUCGUACCUUCUCAUAUACCUGAUUAUUUUUUCUGUGUGCUGGAUAUUAUAUAUAAAAGAUUGCAGAAGUAUUUUGAAGCUCUUGAUAGCAGUACUUUCCUCUAGAGAGGAUUUCUUUUGCUUCCGUUAGGCAGCUCAACUGGGGCUUUUAGCAGACUCAGAUCACUACAGUCCAGUUAGGGCCAGAUAGGAUUCAAUCCCUGCCAGUUCUGAUCUAUUUUCAGUUCACUUUGACUGCUAGGGUACAGCCCUUCAGGAUCUCAAAUGAAAGGCUGAGAUGUUUAUCUCUUCCUUGGUGAGCCCUCAACUCCAGUUUUUCAACCUCCCUGCCCCCUUUCCUAGGCCC